rnacentral:tRNA from 1 species
GCGAGGGUAGCAAAGCCUGGAGGUUGUUAAUAGCAGCCGGGCAAUCAAAUGCGCAGGACUUAAGAUCCUGUCCUUUAGUAGGUUCGUGGGUUCGAAUCCCAUCCCUCGCA